GAUGGGGACGAGCUGGCCCAGAUGAUUUGGCGGGCACACAAAUGCCCUGGUGGGCGCCCUGGCGCCCAUGGGCGCCACAUUGGGGACCACUGACUUAAACAGCUAUCGCAGGGCACACAACAUUGACAGCAACUGUGCCCUGCUUUUUCAUCUGUGCUGUUCUAUAAUUACUGAGAGCUUCCCCUCCUGCUACAAUUACUCCUCCCUCCCCCCCGUUAAUUAUCAGCCCUGGAAUUAUGCUGCUUUCCUCCCUCUGUCCUUGUUGUCAUGACAACAAACAACAGGCCUGCACCUGCCACUGGGUGCACAGUGGUACUUUUGGAAAGAAAAAAAAAAAAUCACAGUAGCAGCAGUGAUUAUUUCUUCCCAUAAAUUGUUAGGGAUCCCCUAUAAGAAGAGGAAAUGCACAGCAUAGAAAUCCUGUAGCUCAACUACUGCAAAGCAAGCACAGCAUCUGGAAUAUCUGCUAUAACAGUACUGCAUAUAUACAAGGUGAAGUGGCUAUAAAAAGCAUGGAUAUGAUAGGAGAUACUAAGCCAUUUAUUACAAUGCACAGAGGCGUGGAGGAUUAAAGAAGAUUGGGUCCCUUCAUUUUACAUUAUCCCACAACACAGUGAAAAGUCUGUCUGUUAAAUCAUAUCUGCAACAAUGGCCACCAACUAAGAAUAAACUCAAGUUUUCCUGCUCCAGAAGCACAAGUCUGUACUCAACUGGAGCUAAAAGGAGAAUCUCCGUGAAAAGAAGAGUAUUGAUGACAUGCAGUCUAGCAGGUCGGAUCCCUCUUGUAGAGGACAGUUGUGCACAUGUUCACAUUCUUUAAAAACUGCUCUAUAGGGAGUUUUACAGUGCAAUGAAUUGGGUAUGGCCAGGAACACUAGCUCCUUUGAUAGACAUUGAGCUUUAAUAAUUUUUUGUCCUGACUGGAUUGCUACAGAAACAAAAAUUAUAUUAAAACUGCUUUCAAAACAAGUUAUAUCGCAAAUCCAGGUAUACCUGAAGCUAAUGGGAGCUGUGAAUACUAAGCAUCUCUGACUAUUGAGCCACGAAAGUAAAGACAGCAGAACUAUGGUAAUAGCUGCCUAACUAUGGGGACUUAAGUUUGAAUAUUCUGGCAUAAGAGUCUUGCCCAAGACUAAGGAGGGAGUCAGGAGCACAACUAAGACUAGAGCUCUGUUGUCGUUGGAUUUCAGUCCCAUAAUCGAUCCAUUGGACUAUGCGGCUUCUCAUAAUCUCUAGUCUGAGCACCUACUCCUUUUAGACAUUAUAGAACAUCAGA